rnacentral:rRNA from 1 species
AUUUGACCUCAAAUCAGGUAGGAACACCCGCUGAACUUAAGCAUAUCAAUAAGCGGAGGAAAAGAAAAUAACAAUGAUUCCCCUAGUAACUGCGAGUGAAGAGGGACAAGCUCAAAUUUUAAAUCCAUCGGGUUUUACCCGAUCGAGUUGUAAUUUGAAGAGGCGUUUUCUGUGUUUCUGAUCAGUCCAAGUCCUUUGGGAUAAGGCAUCAUGGAGGGUGAGAAUCCCGUCCGGUUGAUCAGAUUCGCUUUACGAUACGCUUUCUAAGAGUCAAGUUGUUUGGGAUUGCAGCUUAAAAUGGGAGGUAAAUUUCUCCUAAGGCUAAAUAACGGCGAGAGACCGAUAGCGAACAAGUACCGUGAGGGAAAGAUGAAAAGAACUUUGAAAAGAGAGUUAAACAGUACGUGAAAUUGUUGAAAGGGAAACGAUUGAAGCCAGUCGUACCUUCGGGUAAUCAGCCUUUCGGGUGCGAUUAUGUGGAGUGUGAGGAGCUUAAACACCUUCAUGUUUUGCAUAUUCGUACUCUUGGGUGUACUUGCCCGUGUGGUUGGUUAACAUCAAUUUUGGUGGUCAUAAAAUGACUGGAGGAAUGUAGCUUCGAUCUCGUAUUGAAGUGUUAUAGCCUUCGGUAGAUGUGAUGAUCGAGAUUGAGGAUUGCAACGGAUACCCUUCGGGGCUACCUGUCUGGUCUCUGAUCGUUGCUCUGGUGCCGAAAGCUUGCUUACGGUUAUCAAAGUCGAUGGUCAAUAGGUUAGAACGGGUUAAAUUCGUUAAGGAUGUUGACGUAAUGGCUUUAAACGACCCGUCUUGAAACACGGACCAAGGAGUCUAACAUAUAUGCGAGUGUUAGGGUGAUUAAACCCUUACGCGUAAUGAAAGUAAUAUUGGUGGGAACACUUUUGUGCACCAUCGACCGAUCAGGAUAUUUUUUGAUAGAUUUGAGUAAGAGCAUAUCUGCUAGGACCCGAAAGAUGGUGAACUAUGCCUGAAUAGGGUGAAGCCAGAGGAAACUCUGGU